UGGGGAAUAUUGCACAAUGGGCGGAAGCCUGAUGCAGCGACGCCGCGUGGGGGAUGAAGGCCUUCGGGUUGUAAACCUCUUUCGCUAGGGAAGAAGGGUGACUGACGGUACCUAGAGAAGAAGCACCGGCUAACUACGUGCCAGCAGCCGCGGUAAUACGUAGGGUGCGAGCGUUGUCCGGAAUUAUUGGGCGUAAAGAGCUUGUAGGCGGUUUGUCGCGUCUGCGGUGAAAACCUGGGGCUUAACCCUGGGCGUGCCGUGGGUACGGGCAGGCUAGAGUGUGGUAGGGGAGACUGGAAUUCCUGGUGUAGCGGUGAAAUGCGCAGAUAUCAGGAGGAACACCGAUGGCGAAGGCAGGUCUCUGGGCCAUAACUGACGCUGAGAAGCGAAAGCAUGGGGAGCGAACA
rnacentral:rRNA from 1 species